rnacentral:rRNA from 1 species
CACAAGCGGUGGAGUAUGUGGUUUAAUUCGAUGCAACGCGAAGAACCUUACCUGGUCUUGACAUCCCGGAGACCCUUAGGAAACUAGGGGGUGCUUCCAUCUGGAAGAAUCUGGAGACAGGUGCUGCAUGGCUGUCGUCAGCUCGUGCCGUGAGAUGUUGGGUUAAGUCCCGCAACGAGCGCAACCCUUGCCUUUAGUUGCCAGCAGUUCGGCUGGGCACUCUAAAGGGACUGCCGGUGUUAAACCGGAGGAAGGUGGGGAUGACGUCAAGUCCUCAUGGCCUUUAUGACCAGGGCUACACACGUACUACAAUGGCCGAUACAAAGGGCAGCGACACUGCGAGGUGAAGCCAAUCCCGUAAAAUCGGUCUCAGUCCGGAUUGGAGUCUGCAACUCGACUCCAUGAAGUUGGAAUCGCUAGUAAUCGUGGAUCAGCAUGCCACGGUGAAUACGUUCCCGGGCCUU